AUCAUUAGUGAUAUAGGACGUCCAACUUAACUUGGAGUCCGAACUCUCACUUUCUAACCCUGUGCACUUGUUUGGGAUAGUAACUCUCGCAAGAGAGCGAACUCCUAUUCACUUAUAAACACAAAGUCUAUGAAUGUAUUAAAUUUUAUAACAAAAUAAAACUUUCAACAACGGAUCUCUUGGCUCUCGCAUCGAUGAAGAACGCAGCGAAAUGCGAUAAGUAAUGUGAAUUGCAGAAUUCAGUGAAUCAUCGAAUCUUUGAACGCACCUUGCGCUCCAUGGUAUUCCGUGGAGCAUGCCUGUUUGAGUGUCAUGAAUACUUCAACCCUCCUCUUUCUUAAUGAUUGAAGAGGUGUUUGGUUUCUGAGCGCUGCUGGCCUUUACGGUCUAGCUCGUUCGUAAUGCAUUAGCAUCCGCAAUCGAACUUCGGAUUGACUUGGCGUAAUAGACUAUUCGCUGAGGAAUUCUAGUCUUCGGAUUAGAGCCGGGUUGGGUUAAAGGAAGCUUCUAAUCAGAAUGUCUACAUUUUAAGAUUAGAUCUCAAAUCAGGUAGGACUACCCGCUGAACUUAAGCAUAUCAAUAAGCGGAGGAAAAU
rnacentral:rRNA from 1 species